rnacentral:rRNA from 1 species
AACGAACGCUGGCGGCAUGCCUAACACAUGCAAGUCGAACGAAACCUUCGGGUCUAGUGGCGCACGGGUGCGUAACGCGUGGGAACCUGCCCUUAGGUUCGGAAUAACUCCCCGAAAGGGGUGCUAAUACCGGAUAAUGUCUCCGGACCAAAGAUUUAUCGCCUUUGGAUGGGCCCGCGUUGGAUUAGCUAGUUGGUAGGGUAAAAGCCUACCAAGGCGACGAUCCAUAGCUGGUCUGAGAGGAUGAUCAGCCACACUGGGACUGAGACACGGCCCAGACUCCUACGGGAGGCAGCGGUGGGGAGUAUUGGACACGGGGCGAAAGCGUGAUCCAUCAAUGCCGCGUGAGUGAUGGAGGCCUUAGGAUUGUAAAGCCCUUUUUACCGAGAUGAUAAUGACCGUACCGGGAGAAUAAGCCCCGGCUAACUCCGUG